UGUUUCUGACCCUCCAUCCCCACCUCCAGGGUUCAGCUGCCUGGUUCUUGUACAGCAUUGCUGCAUAACACUGGCUCAGAUUCCUGAGGAAAUUACUGACUUCUAAGAAAGAGCCAUGGGAAAGUUCAGAGAAGAGCCAUGAAGAUGGGAGAGACCGUUGCAGUACCAGUUUCUAAUAUUCUUGAAGCUUCAGGG
rnacentral:lncRNA from 1 species